rnacentral:rRNA from 1 species
UGGGCAACCUGCCCCCGACCCUGGGAUAACCCCGGGAAACCGGAGCUAAUACCGGAUACUCCGGCUGGAUCGCAUGGUCCGGCCGGGAAAGGUCCGCCGGAGAGGGAUGGGCCCGCGGCCUAUCAGCUUGUUGGUGGGGUCAUGGCUCACCAAGGCGACGACGGGUAGCUGGUCUGAGAGGACGACCAGCCACACUGGAACUGAGAUACGGUCCAGACUCCGUACGGGAGCA